UACAGAGGAUGCAAGCGUUAUCCGGAAUGAUUGGGCGUAAAGCGUCUGUAGGUGGCUUUUUAAGUCCGCCGUCAAAUCCCAGGGCUCAACUCUGGACAGGCGGUGGAAACUACCAAGCUGGAGUUCGGUAGGGGCAGAGGGAAUUUCCGGUGGAGCGGUGAAAUGCGUAGAGAUCGGAAAGAACACCAACGGCGAAAGCGCUCUGCUGGGCCGACGCUGACACUGAGGGACGAAAGCUAGGGGAGCGAAUAGG
rnacentral:rRNA from 1 species